GACAGAGUGUGCAAACGUUGUUCGGAAUUACUGGGCGUAAAGCGCGUGUAGGCGGCGGUGCAAGUCGGGUGUGAAAGCCCUGGGCUCAACCCAGGAAGUGCAUUCGAUACUGCGCUGCUAGAGUCCCGGAGAGGAUGGUGGAACUCUCGGUGUAGAGGUGAAAUUCGUAGAUAUCGGGAGGAACACCAGUGGCGAAGGCGGCGACCUGGGCCAAUACUGACGCUGAGGUGCGAAAGCGUGGGGAGCAAACAGG
rnacentral:rRNA from 1 species